rnacentral:misc_RNA from 1 species
CCUUUCAGCUGAAGUUACACGGGGCAUAUGGAAGCCAGCUUUUAUGAAUGGAACUGAUUGGCCUAGCCCUGCUGCCAAUUUAGCCACUGUUGAGCAACAGAUAAAGAAAAUACUUUCUGCCACUGGUGUUGACGUCCCAAGCCUUCCUGUAGGGGGGAGCUCUCCAGCUACACUUCCUUUGCCUUUAGCUGCCCUAGUAAGCCUCACAAUCACAUAUAGACUCGAUAAACUGUCUGAACGGUUCCUCGUCCUGGUUGGCCCAGCCUUGAAUGCCCUUGCUGCUGGUUGCCC